UCCACUGCAACCGGUACUGCGAUACCGGAAUUGAUCCGGAUUUUAUCCUUCCAAAAAUGUCAGACACCCCGCCACUCACUUGGGUCAAAAGCCAUAUCUCAGCAACUACUAUUUGAAUGAAAUUCCGUUCAGUACCUUUUGCGAAAUCGGUUGACAAUCACACCUACUUCCCACAUACCACAACUGUGAAUUCUCUCUGAUUCGUUCAUAUAACCAUAUAUAAAUCAGUAACUAGUGCAGAUAUUGGAACGAAAAAUUUCUACACAUAAUAAAAAUAUUAUUGUCUUUUAAUCAUAUUUACCACAAUAAAUUACUUCCUUCCCAUACUUCAGCACAAAUGGGCAAUAAAACUUUUUCGCCACAAAAAUUGACAUUUUCAUGCACAAAAUGCUGUCAAAUAUUUUCCACCUCAUUAAAUUGUGAAUUUUUGAAAAGUCAAUGACGCUGAAAACCCCGAAACAGUCGUUACUUUCAUAAUGUCACUAAGUAAUGUUUACAUGGCGUCACCACGGCAGCUGCCGCCCAAACGACAUCUUAUUUGCUAUACAACGAGAGUGUGUGUGCGCUUAGAUGCUGCCACGCAGCGUUGCAUUUCGCGUUUCGCUAGUUGUUAUGUGCGAUGCUCCAUUAGAUUAUUGUAAAAUACUAGUAUUUAUUGCAUAGCCAAUACGUGACCAAUAAAAAAUAAGCUUAAUGUGGCUAGUAAUGCGAGUGAGUGCCGCGCACGCCAGCCGCAGGCAGUAGUUGCAAGCAGUCAAUGCCGCAUUGUCUCGAAUUGUCUGUCUGAAAGCAGUUUACCAAUGCAUAAAUACAAAUCUCUCUGCUCUACUGUAUGUGUGUCUGUUUGUUGGUGGGUGUAUGGUGCAAGUGCUUGUUGUUGUUAUGGUUGUUGCCACGAGCGUCGCCGCGGACAUGACAAUAUGGUUUGCGGUGUGGCAAGUACAUACAAACAAUACGCUACAUAUGUCGUUUUGCCAAUGGCUCGCCGAAUGCACUCCACGUUGUCACUUACACAUGUAGCCACACACUCACACCUACUUACAAACACAAACACGUUUGCUCCGCGUUGUUCAUGUGCGCUUUGUUUGUUUGUGUUGUUGCGUUGUGGUUUUUGGGUAGAACGCAUUUCAUUUCUCGUCUGCAUUUACUUCGAUCCUCUAUCAGCCUUUAAAAAUUCACCACAACCAACAUUUUAUUUUAAUUUUUAUUGUUGUUCUAUUUCUGUUUGCCUGAGCAAUCAUGUGAGUAUGUGGAAUUGGUUAUCAGUUAUUUUGGUAGUCUAUACUUUUGAAGAGUACACUUAGUAAUUAGUCCUGAAAUAGUACAAAAUGGACGAAAAUUGAGACUAGUGGCAAGGGAACAGUGAUCUAAUUCCCUAUUUUUGGGUAUUGGCUCAAUUACAUUAGACUGAGAAGACAAUCCUCUCGAGACGAACUAAAUCCAAACUUUACAAGACGCUCAUUAUUCCUGUACUGAUUUAUGGUGCGGAAGCAUGGACGAUGUCAAUAUCCGAUGAGACAGAACUAGGCGUUUUAUAAAGAAAUGUUUUGCGGAAGAUUUAUAAUCCGCAGACGAUGGUACGAUGAGCUGUACGAGUUAUAAGACGACAUUGACAUAGUUCAACGAAUAAAAAGCAGAGGCUACGCUGGCUUGGUCAUGUUGUCCGAGAUAUAAGCUGUCCAGCUUUGAAGGUGUUCGAUGCAGUACCCGCUAGUAGAAGCUGAAGACUUCUUUCUACUCCGUUGGAAAUAACAGCUGGAGAGCGACCUUGUUUCACUUGGUCGUUACAAGUUUGAUUCGCAUAUAAUCGGGUAAGAGGUUCCUAUGCCAUUUACAUACAAUGGGGCAGUUAUAAUAAUCUUUCAAUCGGUUAUGAUGUCGGAGUACUUUAUAAAUCCCUAUCGAGGCAUCAAAUGUCCACGAAAUGAGGAGUAAUUGCUUUACGAAGAAAAUCAGAUUUUUAGUAUAGAAAAUAAGCUUUCUGUAAAAUGCUUAAUACCUUUAUAUUUUGAAAAGUAAUAUUUAUAUUGCCCGAAUAUUUAUCUUUUCCCUCAGAGUUGCUGUGUACCUAGUCACGUGUCGGACGGAAAUUGCUACGAUGCCACUCUGACUGGGCUGCCUUCCAAUAAAUGGUCUUCUAGUAGUCAUAAAUAAUUAACUUAACUGCGUAUAUGAAGAAGGACACAAGGAACACCACACUUUUUGGUCUGAGGAGGCGGAAUCUUUGCAGAAACAGUUUAUGUUGAUUAUCUUGGGGCGUAUUUCUUUGUAGAACAUUUACUUGAAUAUCUUCGCCCGACAGUUUUCAUAAAUGGACCUAACUAAAUAGAGAGUAUACGUGAGGCUAUGUUUAGAGAUUCGAGUAAGGAAUCUGACCGGAUUUAAUUUUGGUACAAACCCAAAAAAGAGCAUCAUCCCUUAUGGCCACUAUGAUACGUCUAUGUUUCAACAUCAGAAUAAGUUGACCUUAUGUCAGCUUGAUUUAGAGCCACAUGGAGUCCGAAGCACAGUAGAUGUUUUAAUUUGAUCAUUCUACGCUGCCAAUUCGAAUCAGGUAAUACUACUUUGGGUGGAAACAUACACCACUCUUUUGUAACUUACUUUAACAAUAUUUGUUCGGAGAUUGCAAAUACCUAGACUUAAUAUAUUGGAGGAUUGGGUCAUGUGUAGAAAUUCAUGUAAGUGAGGAAAGUUCCAGACUGCCAUUCACUUGGGAGUGGCCAGGAACGAUCCCUUUGCAGGUGGCUCAAGCAACUCACGACUUCGGGUUUUAAACCAAGUAUUCUCUGGGUAGCCAACAGACCACCACUUAAAAAAACAUAUCCAAUGAAAAUAACACAACAGCAUCGGAUUAGAAUGCCCAAUUUCAGCGAAAAGGAAGAACGAAUGGCUCGCUGUUGCAAACUCGGCUAUAACCCCGUGAGCAGUGUCUACGCCAAUUAAGAAGAAGAUACUUAUCAUAUUUUUCUUCAACUUAAACAAUAUAUGAGAAAUUUCACUGUCAUACUCUAGAAUGGAAAGCACUACCAGUCCAUUUAGGAGUACUUUUAUGCUUUCCGUCAGCUCAAAUCUACUGCUAGCUACAGCAAGAAAUCGCCAGUAUGAUGCGCGCUUCCACAUUGUAUGCACGUACUACUACAUAAGCAUUAUCAACUUUAUAAUAAAUUUACUGAUUGAAAAAUGACCCUGUACCUCGUUUGCUGAAAGCUUGAAUUUUAUGGUUGCUUUUAUUACAACGCAAAUGGUUGAGUAGCGGCGAAGCAGGAUAAAAUAGAGCUGUCAAAAAUUGUGCGUGUAUAUAAAAUAUUUGCGAUGUGCGCUGUGUGAAAUAUUGGCCCUACUGACCUGCUUUCGUGGCUGUUAAUUAAUACAAUUAUCGAUUGAUUCCUGGAAGUUUUUGUAUUGCAGCGGAUUUGUGCAAAAUAUUUUUAAAUGUAAUUAAAAUUUAAAAUUUGUAAAUUUUUUUAAAUUUUCAAAUACCUGAAAGCAUUAAAAUUCUCCAAAGCCCUAAAUAUCAGAAGCUUCCCUCAUAUUGAUAAAAUGCAGUUUGCGUUAUUUGCUUCGCCAAAAUAAUAAUUUUCUUAAGGACACAAACGUUUGUAAUCACUCAUAUCCCCUAUAUAUAUUUGUUUAUACUCCUAUGUAGUAUUGGUGGCCACCCGGGCGUAUGAGUAACUCUUAAAAAUUUAAUAAAUUUAGCAUUGAUAAGAGAAUCAAUACUAAAACUGUAUUACAAAUUUAUGAAUAACCAAAAUCAUUUUUUUUUUUAAUUUUAUAAAACUGCAUGAGAUGAGCAUGAUAGAUAUGAUAGUGUUGGUUGCUUUUCUGCAUAAUCCCCCAAAAAUAUAUCCUUUUGAUAAAUUCUGUUGCAGCUAUUAAAACAGAUAAGUGAUUUGGAUGGCUACAUCUUCACAUCAGCUAGUGGUGUUACCGUUACAAGCAAACCUUGUUCCACUUGCCACAUUCUACGCCUUGCAGCAAUCUACUUAAGCCAUAAGUACCGUGUACUACCCCCAGUUUUACCUUUUUCAUUUCACUAGCGUAAGACAGUAGCUGCAGUCAGUGCAACCGGUGCAGAUGUUGCAUGUGUUCAAAGUCAUAAAUUUAUGGUGCAACAUAAUGUUUCUUUACAUAAUAUACAUAAGUGGCAGUACGUCGUAUAACGUUUUACAUGUGCGCUUAAGCGUACAACAAAUAUACACACAUUCAUUCUCAUCUCUCACAGCUGUGUUGUCUUUUGUAUGUGCUUUCUAGUUUCUUCAUUUUUCAGCUUGCCUUAGUGGCUGGCGCAUUUUGAUUUUCUUGCAACAUGCUUGCCUUCGUUGUUGUUUUGGUUUCUGUUUACCACUUUUAGUAGAGAAAUCAUAUUACAGGCACCACUUUUUUUGGAAAAAAAUAGAAAAAAGUAUAUACUUCAUUUUUUGGUAGACUACCACCAUUAAUUUCCAUAAUUGGAUACUUAAGAUAAUUUCCUCAUUUGCAGCUCCUCGGGAAGAGACGACAAGAUGCGCAACACUAUCAAAAGUGAUGAGGGGAUUGCAGAGAGUGGUAGUAGUAGUGUUGCUGUGGUUGGUUCAUAUGUGUCUUGUGCUCGUAGUUAAUUCUAUGGUAUUCUUUUAGCGCCACUACUACUUUUAUGACUCUUGUAGAUAACGAUAUGCU